GCUGUUCCCGACCCAUGGAGGGCUGCAUCAGUACCAUGGCAGGAUUGUGAUGGGAGUGUCCUUUGAUGGAUGUUGGCCAGGUGUUCUUCAUUGCCAGGACUCCAACACCCUCUUCCUGACCAGGAGGGAAAUACAGCGUACCAGAAUGAUGCCAACAAUAUGCAUUGUUGGAGUCAGAGUGGGUGAUGAGCUCUGGCACUCUCCCAACCUCAGCCACCAUGAACACAGCAAGGAAACGUUUCAAAGUUGGAAUCCUGAUACUUCUCAGUGGGAAAAUAUCUGAAAAGAACUGACUGUCAGUCAAUGUAGGUAAGUAACUGAAUGAAGAUUUGGAAAAAAGGCAGAAGAAGAAAAAAUGCAUGAAGAAAAGAAAAGUGAGGUGCAAGUGGAGAUGAAGACGGGAAAAGACUGGAGUCAAAGACUAAGA